UAAAACUUUUAACAACGGAUCUCUUGGUUCUGGCAUCGAUGAAGAACGCAGCGAAAUGCGAUAAGUAAUGUGAAUUGCAGAAUUCAGUGAAUCAUCGAAUCUUUGAACGCACAUUGCGCCCCCUGGUAUUCCGGGGGGCAUGCCUGUUCGAGCGUCAUU
rnacentral:rRNA from 1 species